rnacentral:rRNA from 1 species
UACGAAGGGUGCAAGCGUUACUCGGAAUUACUGGGCGUAAAGCGUGCGUAGGUGGUUCGUUAAGUCUGAUGUGAAAGCCCUGGGCUCAACCUGGGAAUGGCAUUGGAAACUGGCGACCUAGAGUGCGGUAGAGGGUAGUGGAAUUCCCGGUGUAGCAGUGAAAUGCGUAGAGAUCGGGAGGAACAUCCGUGGCGAAGGCGACCAUCUGGGACAACACUGACGCUGAAGCACGAAAGCGUGGGGAGCAAACAGG